rnacentral:rRNA from 1 species
CCCUUAGAUGUUCUGGGCUGCACGCGCGCUACACUGAUGCACUCAACGAGUUUACGACCUUGUCCGAGAGGAUUGGGUAAUCUUUUUAAAAUGCAUCGUGAUGGGGAUAGAUUAUUGCAAUUAUUAAUCUUCAACGAGGAAUUCCUAGUAAGCGCGAGUCAUCAGCUCGUGCUGAUUACGUCCCUGCCCUUUGUACACACCGCCCGUCGCUACUACCGAUUGAAUGGUUUAGUGAGAUCUUCGGAUUGGCGCCACUGCGGCUCAGCAAUGGGCUCGGUGGAUGCCGAAAAGUUGAUCAAACUUGAUCAUUUAGAGGAAGUAAAAGUCGUAACA